rnacentral:rRNA from 1 species
CUCGCUGUGAAGAUGCAGUGUACCCGCGGCAAGACGGAAAGACCCCGUGAACCUUUACUAUAGCUUGACACUGAACAUUGAGCCUUGAUGUGUAGGAUAGGUGGGAGGCUUUGAAGUGUGGACGCCAGUCUGCAUGGAGCCGACCUUGAAAUACCACCCUUUAAUGUUUGAUGUUCUAACGUGGACCCGUAAUCCGGGUUGCGGACAGUGUCUGGUGGGUAGUUUGACUGGGGCGGUCUCCUCCUAAAGAGUAACGGAGGAGCACGAAGGUUGGCUAAUCCUGGUCGGACAUCAGGAGGUUAGUGCAAUGGCAUAAGCCAGCUUGACUGCGAGCGUGACGGCGCGAGCAGGUGCGAAAGCAGGUCAUAGUGAUCCGGUGGUUCUGAAUGGAAGGGCCAUCGCUCAACGGAUAAAAGGUACUCCGGGGAUAACAGGCUGAUACCGCCCAAGAGUUCAUAUCGACGGCGGUGUUUGGCACCUCGAUGUCGGCUCAUCACAUCCUGGGGCUGAAGUAGGUCCCAAGGGUAUGGCUGUUCGCCAUUUAAAGUGGUACGCGAGCUGGGUUUAGAACGUCGUGAGACAGUUCGGUCCCUAUCUGCCGUGGGCGCUGGAGAACUGAGGGGGGCUGCUCCUAGUACGAGAGGACCGGAGUGGACGCAUCACUGGUGUUCGGGUUGUCAUGCCAAUGGCACUGCCCGGUAGCUAAAUGCGGAAGAGAUAAGUGCUGAAAGCAUCUAAGCACGAAACUUGCCCCGAGAUGAGUUCUCCCUGAGACUUAGAGUCUCCUGAAGGAACGUUGAAGACGACGACGUUGAUAGGCCGGGUGUGUAAGCGCAGCGAUGCGUUGAGCUAACCGGUACUAAUGAACCGUGAGGCUUAACCUU